rnacentral:rRNA from 1 species
CGUAGGGUGCAAGCGUUAAUCGGAAUUACUGGGCGUAAAGCGUGCGCAGGCGGUUAUAUAAGACAGAUGUGAAAUCCCCGGGCUCAACCUGGGAACUGCAUUUGUGACUGUAUAGCUAGAGUACGGUAGAGGGGGAUGGAAUUCCGCGUGUAGCAGUGAAAUGCGUAGAUAUGCGGAGGAACACCGAUGGCGAAGGCAAUCCCCUGGACCUGUACUGACGCUCAUGCACGAAAGCGUGGGGAGCAAACAGGAUUAGAUACCCUGGUAGUCCACGCCCUAAACGAUGUCAACUGGUUGUUGGGUCUUCACUGACUCAGUAACGAAGCUAACGCGUGAAGUUGACCGCCUGGGGGAGUACGGCCGCAAGGUUG